GGGGUGGAUUCAGUAUCCAUCGACAUGAAGGACAAGAAGAUGACAGUGAUAGGGGACAUUGAUCCAGUAUGCAUAGUGGCCAAACUGAGAAAGCUGUGUGGCACAGAAAUAGUCACAGUAGGACCGGCAAAAGAGCCUGAGAAGAAAAAAGAUGAGCCGCCGAAGAAGCCAGAAGGAGAUCAGAAGAAAGAUCCCGAGCCUGUGGCUUACCUGGCCUAUCAUCCUCAUAUGCCCCCAUAUUGUUAUGUUUCAUGUGUAGAGGAUAAUCAAAAUGCUUGUGUCAUUUCUUAAUUUGAUGUUAAAAACAAAUAUAAUAUAUAGAGAUGAAAUAAGUGGAAAAAAAUAAUAUAGCUUAUUGGUGGGUUUGGGAAAUUUGGGUGGUUAUUAGAACUUCGUUAGUGAUUACACUACAGCUGUACAAAAGUUGAUGUGGUUAUUAGAACUUCGUUAGUAAUUUAACGACCAUAUAAAAAAAACUUGUUGGUGUGGGGUUGUUUUAUAUUAAUGAAUUGUGGGUCUUAUUUUGGUAUUAAUUAAUGCAUACCAAUUUGAUAGUGAUUUUUUAUUAAUGGACACGUAAGGCAUUAUUUUGUUACUUUUCCAAGAUAAAAAAAAUUAAAAACAAUAAAUAUAAAAACAUAUUUCAUCAAGAAGAUAGAGUUAUAUAAAAUAAAUAUUUUUUUAUAUUUAUUUGUUUUUAUCUCGACAUAAUAAUUAAAUUUUAUGAAAAUGAACAUGGGAAAUCAUGUCAACUUUGUGUUUGGUAUUUGUUGACACAGAAUUUGAGAAUAAAAGGCCGCCGUUACUUUGGUCACGGUUUUCGCCCAUAAAAAGGCCAAUUUGUUCAAGUAAUGCAUGGUGUUCUAAAAGAAAAUGAUUACAAGAAAAGUACAACGUUGUUCCCUUUAAAAAAAACUCGUCCUCCAAGGAAAUAUGAAAACUAAAGUGAUGACUAAUGUUGUUUUGGCAUGUCUUCUUCGACCAAUUUCAAAAACUAUCCUGCAAUUCUGCUGCUUUGUAUGAAAAGGGCAAACCCUUUUCCACUCCAUUAACUUUUGGUUCUCUCUACUAUUUUGAUGUUCUUCACUUUUUUUCUUAAGGAGUCUCCUUUCCUUUGUGAAUAGUAAGAAAGUCACGUUUUCUUUUUUACACUUAUAGCAAUUUUUUUUUUUGAAAAAUAUCCCUCAUCAGUGUUUGAAUAUCACUUUAACCGAUGAAUAAAAAAUCAAACAAAAUAAAGUCUAGAAGAUUGUCCAAUAGUAAGUGUUUGGGAUUAAAGAGUUUAUUUCCUUUAUAGUUUCAGGUUCGAGCCUCGUGGUUGCUCAUAUGAUGGUCACUAGAGGCUUAUAUGGUCGUUAAAUUCAGGGCCCAUGGGAUUAGUCGAGGUACGCAUAAACUAGCCUGGACACCCACUUUAAUAAAUAAAAAAAUCAAACAAAAUUGUAUAAAAAAUCACCAACAAGAACUGCUAUGGAUCAAUGGUCUAUUUGAAAACAAAUCCGUGAAAUUUUAUAUAAAUAGUUACUGUUUUUUUAUUAUUUAGACUUUAAUAAAAUAUAAGAGAUUUUUCUCUAUUUUUGUAUGGUGUUUAUAAUUUUAACCUUAGAUUCUGAAAAUCUUAAUUUUAUCUUUUCUAGACAUACACUUCGUCAUAAAAUUUGUUUGUUAGUAAGAUAGUGAUAAAGCCCUUCUCCACCGAGGCAAGAUGCCAAGUGAUGUUUGUUUGUGAGUAAGAUAGUGAUAAAGCCCUUCUCCACCUAGACAAGAUGCCAACUAAUGUUUGUUUUGCAUGACACCACGCGCAACACACCCACAUUAAUUAUUUGGUCGACGCUCUUGUCGUGGGGUAGAUAUUCUUUUUCAACAAGAAAAUUAAAUAUGUAAGUUUUUUUUGACAGGUUUUUUAACUUAAAAAAUAUUAAGUAUAAAUAUAAAAAAUUUAUGCAUACAUUUAAUUAAAUAAAUUAUAAAUUAUUUUUAUAUUAACAAAUAAAAAAUCAAGAGACAGAUAUAGAUCAAAAUAUUUGAUAUUAAUGCAACGUGGUUCAUUUAACCGAUUAUUUUUUAUAAUUUUAUUUAUUUAAUUAAAUAACAAUAAAAAUAAACAUAUAUACAAAAUUAAUUGCAUAAAAUAAAAGGAAAAAACAUGUCACACAAUGUUGCACUUAUUAGACAUACUAUAAAAAAAUAUUUAUUUAUUUAUUUAUUUUUUAAAACAAAGUUCAAUUAUAUAAAACAUGAAAAAAUUAUAGAUUAAUUAGAAAAACCUAUUCAAAAAACUAAAUACAUACAGCAUACUUAAAAAAACCACUAUUUAAAAAAUACUACACAUAAAAAUUAAAAAAAAAUCAAAGAGAAGGGGUAUUGAUUUAAAUAUAAAUUAAAAAAUUAUUUAAAAAACAAAUUUUUUUAAAAAGCAUGAAUUCUUUUAAGAGCAUCAAAUUACCAAAAAAUAAGAAAAAGAGACCAGGCCAACACCUGACCGUUUAAGAGGGCCCGUACAUUGGUUUAUUUUUUUGAAAAAUAUAAUUAAGGUGAAUGAUAUGUUUUUUGAAAAAACAAGUCAAACAAUGCACCAUCUAAUUUAAUUCAAAUCUCGACCAUUAUGGUAUCAAAAAAUUAGGACUGAAUAUAUUUUAACUCAAAAACCUGUUUUCAGUAAAAAUAGUAUGUAAAUUUGGAUGACCUAAAAAAAUAAAAUAGUAUCAAUAAUAACUCUGAAUUAAUAUUUAAAAUUAGGAGGUUAGAAAAACAAUGAGAGGUUAGAACUUAAAAAAAAAUGUAUGCAAAAAUGGAAGAGAAAGGGGAAAACGUUGAUUCUUUGCAAGAAGCAUAUUCCUUUUAGUUGCUAUGGUUGUGGUAAGGGAUUUUAACCAUUUAAUUUCACGUGUUAAUGGGUUUUUUCAUGUAGGAUUAAAAUCUCUCCUGAUUCUUGAAUUUAGAGUUCAUGAGACUUUUUGUAUUUAGAUGUUAAUUGAUUUGUGUAUUAUCUAAGAUAAAAUAAAUAAUAAUAAAAAGAAAUAAAAAAACUAAAGGAUAAUGAAAUAAAAAAACUCAAAUUUUAUAAAUCAUUUAAAAUAAAAAACAAUAAUUAAAAUAACAGAUAUCAAAUCUUAAAGAAAAUCAUAUUAAAUGGUUGAUUUAACAAUCUAGGGUGACACCUGUCAAUAUCAAAAUGGAAAGAGAGAGAGAGAGAGAGAGAAAGAUCUCACAAGUGCCAAACCGGAUGUCAUACCCCAAGCGCUGCGAUUUUAUGAAGGAAAUAUCGGGAGGAUUUCAAGAAAGCCGGUCAUUAAUUCCGCACGACGCCCCACAAGCCGCUAGAGAGAAAACAUUCUUUGUAAGAAAGAAAUAGGCAGCACAUCAAUUUUAGCGAACGAAAUAAUUUUAAGAAAACAUUCUCAUUUUCCUUUCUUUUUUCACAAGUAUCUGUAAACUAAUACAGACAUACUUGUUCCAAUAAUUGAGCUCUGAGAUUUUAAGAAGGAAAGCAUGUUCUUACACUCCCGCUGCACACUUUUUGGAGUUAUAAAUUAUAGAUCUAAAUCCUCCUUGUCUUUUCCAAAAAGAAAAGAAAGAAAGAAAAUAGUCAUGAUCGACUUUGGAAACACCAAUGUGCUUUCCUUUACUGGUCCUACGAUUUUGCGUUUAUUGACGAUAAACUACAGCUCUCAGGUUGACUCAUUGCUCUCUCUUCACUCCCUCACUAUAAUUAAACCCCACCACAAAGAACCCUUCUGAUCACCAUGUUUUACUUUUUUUAGCUCUUCCCUUACUUCUUCAUCUCAAGCUUCUUUGUUUACUGUUUGAUCUCAACGUUUUCUCUGAUCAUAUCUCUCUAAGCUAUAGAAAUGAAGGUGAGAAUCAGCUCUCUCUCUCUCUAUAUAUAUAUUUUCUAUUAGAUAUGACUUGUAUGCUUGCAUGAAUGAAUCAUGCGUCAAGUUUUCUUUUCUUUUCCUUACUUUCUUUUUUCCUGUUGAUUUACUUAUUUUGAUGAAGACCUUGCUUCUUUUACAUAAUUCAUUGAGUUUUGUUGGCUUCAGUUUGAUUUAGUCAUUGUUUUAAUGGGAUUCCUUGGUAUUGAUUUUAAGUGAUUACUGUUUCUUGAUUAUCUUGAUAUUGAUUUAUAACAAAAUUCACAUGAUUAUCUUGAUUAUUUUGUUGCAGAAAGCUGUGUUGAAAUUGGAGUUGCAUGAUGAGAAAGCCAAGAAAAAAGCCAUGAAGACAGUCUCUGGUCACUCAGGUAUUGAAUUAUUUUAUUUAUUUAUUGCUAUAUGGUCAUUACCUAAUAAAUUGUGAUUCAAAUUUGCAGGGGUGGAUUCAGUAUCCAUCGACAUGAAGGACAAGAAGUUGACAGUGAUAGGGGGCAUUGAUCCAGUACACAUAGUGACCAAACUGAGAAAGCUGUGUCACACAGAAAUAGUCACAGUAGGACCGGCAAAAGAGCCUGAGAAGAAAAAAGAUGAGCCCAAGAAAGAAGAGCCGAAGAAGCAAGGAGAUCAGAAGAAGAAAGAUCAAGAUCAGGUGGCUUGCCAGGCCUAU
rnacentral:lncRNA from 1 species